GCUCAGAGCGAAUUUCUUGCAGACGUGUGCAACUUCGAAAUUGUUUACGCGACAUAAAGCCAUUUCUUGCCGAGAAAGAAAAUGACCCCUUAUUGUAUGCAGAUGACUCCCUUGAAGACAGAGUGGAAGUCAAGAUUGACACCCAUAACAUCCACAAAUUAUGAUGCAAGCACAAAGCCAGCCACAGAAUCAUGGCUCUUACCGAAACAAAUGUGAUCAGAGACUGUGAGAGCAUUGCUGGCAACAGAUCAUGUCAAGGUACAAGACUGCUCCAGAAGAGCAGUCUUAGUGCAGCAGGUUUAGGAAAAUAUAUAACAUGUACAGUGGAGUGCAAAAAACUGUUGGAAAGAUUUGUCGCUGGCAAGCUAUGUGAAGAAACACUUAAGAUAUACCACACAGGAGAGACACAUAACCAGUGUAGAACAUGACAGCCAAUGGUCAUCUCAAGGCAGACAUGAAGACACAAGAGUGGCUACAUUGUGGUGAAUGUGCGAAAGUAUUUACUACAUCAAGGAACUUGCACAAAAUGUGGGAGAGUCAAGACAUGGAGAGACAAGACUCGUUAGUGUGUAUGUGAAAGAAUUCAAAGCAAAAUGAUCAUCUCAAGGCAGACAUGAAGACACGAGAGUGGCUACAUUUUGGUGAAUGUGGGAAAGUAUUUUACUACAUCAAGGAACAUGCACAAAAUAUGGGACAGUCAUGACGUGGAGAGACAAGACUCGUUAGUGUGUAUGUGAAAGAAUUCAAAGCAAAUGAUCAUCUCAAGGCAGACAUGAAGACACAAGAGUGGCUACAUUGUGGUGAAAGUGGGAAAGUAUUUACUACAUCAAGGAACUUGCACAAAAUAUGGGAGAUUCAAGACAUGGAGACAAGACUCGUUAGUGUGUAUGUGAAAGAAUUCAAAGCAAAUGAUCAUCUUAAGGAAGACAUGAAGACACGAGAGUGGUUACAUUGUGGUGAAUGUGGGAGAAAGUAUUUACUACAUCAAGGAACUUGCAAAAAUAACGUGAAAGUCAUGACAUGGAGAGACAAGACUCGUUAGUGUGUUGAAUGUGGUAAAUUUGAUUGAAUAUGAGUCAAAGUGAAAUAAAGCCCCUUGAGUGUGAUGUGUGUGGGAAAGUAUAUAAAACAUCUUGGAGCAUGAAGACACAUCAGAAGGGUCUUCACUGUGGAAUCCAGCCAUAUAAGUGUACUGAAUGCGGGAAAACAUUUACUCUAAGAGGUACUCUGAAGAAACAU